GCACGGUGGAUGCCUUGGCACUAGAAGCCGAUGAAGGACGUUACUAACGACGAUAUGCUUUGGGGAGCUGUAAGUAAGCUUUGAUCCAGAGAUUUCCGAAUGGGGAAACCCAGCAUGAGUUAUGUCAUGUUAUCGAUAUGUGAAUACAUAGCAUAUCAGAAGGCACACCCGGAGAACUGAAACAUCUUAGUACCCGGAGGAAGAGAAAGAAAAUUCGAUUCCCUUAGUAGCGGCGAGCGAAACGGGAAGAGCCCAAACCAACAAGCUUGCUUGUUGGGGUUGUAGGACACUCUAUACGGAGUUACAAAGGACGACAUUAGACGAAUCAUCUGGAAAGAUGAAUCAAAGAAGGUAAUAAUCCUGUAGUCGAAAAUGUUGUCUCUCUUGAGUGGAUCCUGAGUACGACGGAGCACGUGAAAUUCCGUCGGAAUCUGGGAGGACCAUCUCCUAAGGCUAAAUACUCUCUAGUGACCGAUAGUGAACCAGUACCGUGAGGGAAAGGUGAAAAGCACCCCGGAAGGGGAGUGAAAUAGAACCUGAAACCGUGUGCUUACAAGUAGUCAGAGCCCGUUAAUGGGUGAUGGCGUGCCUUUUGUAGAAUGAACCGGCGAGUUACGAUUUGAUGCAAGGUUAAGCAGUAAAUGUGGAGCCGUAGCGAAAGCGAGUCUGAAUAGGGCGUUUAGUAUUUGGUCGUAGACCCGAAACCAGGUGAUCUACCCUUGGUCAGGUUGAAGUUCAGGUAACACUGAAUGGAGGACCGAACCGACUUACGUUGAAAAGUGAGCGGAUGAACUGAGGGUAGCGGAGAAAUUCCAAUCGAACCUGGAGAUAGCUGGUUCUCUCCGAAAUAGCUUUAGGGCUAGCCUCAAGUGAUGAUUAUUGGAGGUAGAGCACUGUUUGGACGAGGGGCCCCUCUCGGGUUACCGAAUUCAGACAAACUCCGAAUGCCAAUUAAUUUAACUUGGGAGUCAGAACAUGGGUGAUAAGGUCCGUGUUCGAAAGGGAAACAGCCCAGACCACCAGCUAAGGUCCCAAAAUAUAUGUUAAGUGGAAAAGGAUGUGGCGUUGCCCAGACAACUAGGAUGUUGGCUUAGAAGCAGCCAUCAUUUAAAGAGUGCGUAAUAGCUCACUAGUCGAGUGACACUGCGCCGAAAAUGUACCGGGGCUAAACAUAUUACCGAAGCUGUGGAUUGUCCUUUGGACAAUGGUAGGAGAGCGUUCUAAGGGCGUUGAAGCAUGAUCGUAAGGACAUGUGGAGCGCUUAGAAGUGAGAAUGCCGGUGUGAGUAGCGAAAGACGGGUGAGAAUCCCGUCCACCGAUUGACUAAGGUUUCCAGAGGAAGGCUCGUCCGCUCUGGGUUAGUCGGGUCCUAAGCUGAGGCCGACAGGCGUAGGCGAUGGAUAACAGGUUGAUAUUCCUGUACCACCUAUAAUCGUUUUAAUCGAUGGGGGGACGCAGUAGGAUAGGCGAAGCGUGCGAUUGGAUUGCACGUCUAAGCAGUAAGGCUGAGUAUUA
rnacentral:rRNA from 1 species